UACGGGGGGAGCAAGCGUUGUUCGGAUUUACUGGGCGUAAAGGGCGCGUAGGCGGCCACCGCAAGUCGACUGUGAAAUCUCCGGGCUUAACCCGGAAAGGUCAGCCGAUACUGCGGGGCUAGAGUGCAGAAGGGGCAACUGGAAUUCUCGGUGUAGCGGUGAAAUGCGUAGAUAUUGGGAGGAACACCAGUGGCGAAGGCGGCUCACUGGACCGGUACUGACGCUGAGGCGCGAAAGCGUGGGGAGCAAACGGG
rnacentral:rRNA from 1 species